GCAGUCGACGGCAGCAUGAUCUAGCUUGCUAGAUUGAUGGCGAGUGGCGAACGGGUGAGUAAUACAUCGGAACGUGCCCUGUAGUGGGGGAUAACUAGUCGAAAGAUUAGCUAAUACCGCAUACGACCUGAGGGUGAAAGUGGGGGACCGCAAGGCCUCAUGCUAUAGGAGCGGCCGAUGUCUGAUUAGCUAGUUGGUGAGGUAAAGGCUCACCAAGGCGACGAUCAGUAGCUGGUCUGAGAGGACGAUCAGCCACACUGGGACUGAGACACGGCCCAGACUCCUACGGGAGGCAGCAGUGGGGAAUUUUGGACAAUGGGCGAAAGCCUGAUCCAGCAAUGCCGCGUGUGUGAAGAAGGCCUUCGGGUUGUAAAGCACUUUUGUCCGGAAAGAAAUGGCUCUGGUUAAUACCUGGGGUCGAUGACGGUACCGGAAGAAUAAGGACCGGCUAACUACGUGCCAGCAGCCGCGGUAAUACGUAGGGUCCAAGCGUUAAUCGGAAUUACUGGGCGUAAAGCGUGCGCAGGCGGUUGUGCAAGACCGAUGUGAAAUCCCCGAGCUUAACUUGGGAAUUGCAUUGGUGACUGCACGGCUAGAGUGUGUCAGAGGGGGGUAGAAUUCCACGUGUAGCAGUGAAAUGCGUAGAGAUGUGGAGGAAUACCGAUGGCGAAGGCAGCCCCCUGGGAUAACACUGACGCUC
rnacentral:rRNA from 1 species